CGGGGAGUGGCGCAGCCUGGUAGCGCACCAGCCUUGGGCGCUGGGGGUCGUGGGUUCGAAUCCCGCCUCCCCGACCA
rnacentral:tRNA from 1 species